GACUUCAGGCUAGCCUGGCUCCCAGUUCUAUUGGUGUAUUUCUUUUGUCAUCAAAUAAAGGGUUUGGCUUCUUGUUUUUACCGUCUCACGAGAGUCCGGGCCCCGUUUUUGACAGGGGCAGGAUCUCCUCCCUGACCUCUGCCCGCUCUCUGCCCCAGGCUCCCUGCUGGCCCCAGGACACUUGGUCAGCUCACGGCCACCUUGGCCCCCAGCAGCACCCCCAGUCCCUCCCCACAGAAAAACUUUGUCAGACGCUCCAGGAGGGUUGGUCACCGUGAAAUACCUGUCACGUCAAUGGAUUUCACUGAAUACAUCAACAGAGGAACAUUGCUUGACAUUACCUUCACUGAAACAUUUGAUACAUCCGCGUUCAAUACAAUUUAGUACAGGAGUAAAAUAUUUUCCUUUGCCCCGGGGAAAAAGGAAAAAAAGAGGAAGAAAAGGACCAGGCUACACUUCACAGGUUUUAUUGAAGUGAACUUUUAGAGCAAAACAAUCAAGAAAAAUUCAUUUUACUACUAUCAUUCCCAGCUGAAGAAAAAUGUUCUUUUCAAAAUUUAGAGGCUCUCUUUGAAAGAAAGAAAAGAAAAAAAAAGCGAUUUUCACUCAUCUGGAGAAAUGCCUGCUGGUUUACACAGGAUGAGAGGUCUGGAUGACAGAAAAACUGCAGUCCUUUCAGGAAAGGUGUUAAUCAACUGCGUAAAUUGCUACUUAAUCACAACUGGAAAUCCUGGUCAGUCCUUCAGGAGCUGAUUUCUCCAGCAUGGAUCAGUUCCAUGGGGUGAGUCCUCCAGGAAUGGAUUUCUCCAGCAUGGAUCACUUCCAUGGUGUCAGUCCUUCAGGAAUGGAUUUCUCCAGCAUGGAUCACUUCCAUGGGGGUCAGUCCUUCUGGAACCUUCUGUGGGCUCCUCAUGUGGGUCCUUCUUCCACAGGGUCAGUCUGUCUGGAAUGGAUUCCUCUAGCAUGGAUCACUUCCAUGGGGGUCAGUCCUGCAGGAGUUGAUUUCUCCAGCAUGGAUUACUUCCAUGGGGUGAGUCCUCCAGGAAUGGAUUUCUCCAGCAUGGAUCACUUCCAUGGGAUCAGUCCUUCUGGAACCUUCCAUGGGUUCCUCAUGUGGGUCCCUCCCACAGGGUCAGUCUUUCAGGAAAAGGCUGCUGCUGGGUGGUUCUCCCAUGGGAUCAGUUCUUCAGACACAUCCUGCUCCUCUGUGGGGCCCUUCCCGUGGUGUCAGCCCCUCAAAAGCAGGCUGCUCCAGCAUGGGCCUCUCCCAUGAGGUCACAAGUCGUGGGAUCAACCCUGCUCCAUCGUGGGUUCCUCUUCCCACCAUGAAAUAGGAUGAAAAACAGGAAGUUCUGCCCCAAAUAAUAUUGACAGUCCAAAUAUUCCGUGAUUGCAGGACACUUAAGGAAAUAUCUGCUUUCCACUACAGGAUCAUUUUACUCUCCAUGGUGUAAAAGAUAUUAUACAGUUUGUGGACAAAAGAAAUACUUUUAGGUAUUAUUAAUAGAUGAUUUUUCAUUUUGCAUCUUAAUUCACACCCUUAUAACUACACAGGAAAAAGAAAUUGUAUUUCCUACAGCUACUUUUUUUUCUGGAAGAAUUAUACAAAGGAGAAAAAUAUAAAGGAAAGUCGAAGCUUAUUUCCCUUUUCUGUUUUCUAUGCUCUGUACUUCAUAAGAAUGGAAAUACUGGUAUUUUCUUUGGAAUCACAUAGCUAUAAAAGUAUUCAAAAAGUAGGGAAUCUAUUCAAAUCUAUUUUUUAACUUUUUUAAAGGUGGAAAUGGGAAGAAUAAGAAUAUUUAUUUUCAAAUCAGCUACAUCAGCUGUAAAAUGAAAUAUCUGGGAAACGUCUCACAUUAGUCACUGUAUACAAGUUGUCAGUAUUCUUUUUGUUAAACACAUAAUUGCAGAGUGCUCAUAACUAUGAGAUCUAUCAAAAAAUGUGAUUAAUUACAGACAUUCAUGUAGGCUGUUCAAAAAAUGCUGUGAUUUUGCCAGUAUUUCUUGAAGGCAAUGAUUUCAGGCUUUGUAGUCUCUCAAUGCAGUAAUGAACAGGGCAAGAAGAAGACUUAAAAAAUAAAUAUAUAAAAUGUAAUAAUUAAAAAAAGCCAAAAACUUUCACCAAGUAGAUUUAACAAGGCAAUCCAAAGCUAAUGGGAAGGCACCCUUAAAGGCAACCAAGCUGAUGUGGCAAUUUCAGGGGUAGACAGGUCAGUGACAACUUCUACAUCUAUGACUGUGGUUUGAAGGAGGUAUUUUGACAUGGAGGCAAUCCUGGCCUCCAAAUAUCUUUAGGAAAAAAAACCAUUCCAUUUUCAUCUAAAGAAUUCGUGUUUCCAAGAAGAGGAAGGGGACACUUACAUAUACAACAACAUCUGGUGCAUCUUUCUCCAAGCGGAAAAGAUACUGUGGUGUGAGUCCAGGGCAUGGAACAGGCUGUCCAGGGAUGUGGCUGAGUCAUCACUUCUGGAGGCACUUAAAAAAUGUGUAAAUUUGGGUCUGACAAGUUUGUGGUUCCCAUAGAUCUCCUUUCUGCUCCUUUUAAUAACGGGUGCAUCAUUUCCCUUUCUCCUGCCCCCAAGGACAUCACUUGUGUGUCACAACUUGUCAGGUGUCAUGGAGAGUGGCUUGGACACUGCAACUAUCCUCUGCAGUCCGGGAUGUACCUUGUCAGGAACCACAGGUUUGUACGUGUUCAUGUCUGUCUCAACCUGACAUUCUCCUGUGAUGGGAUCAACUUCACUCCUCCAGCCCCUGUCUUGAUUUUCAGGGGCUUGAGCAAUGUGGGAGGAUGGAUUACUGUUGAAAACUGAGGGGAAAGCAGAUUUAUUGAGCACUCAUGUUCCCCAUGUUGGCUGUCACCAGCUUUCCUGUCUUAUUUACAGGGAACCAAGGUGGGAACCUUUUCUUUCACACCUGUUUUCUGGCCAGUGUACUUUGCAAAAGCUCUCAUUCCUCAAAUUCCUUGCCAAAUUCUGUUCCAGCUCUGCUAUACCUUUCCUAACCCCAUCUCUCCACAUCCAGGCAGUGUCGACAUAUUCUUCCCAGUACAGACAUCCCUAAGUUCCAUUACCUGGGUAUUUCCUUCUUACACCUUAGUUUGAGCAAAAAGUCCUUCCUGAGCCAUGCUGGUCUCUGCCUCUGUUGACCAAUGUUUUACAUGUCAGAAUUGAGAGCUCUUGCACUUAAGAAAAUUGCCCUUAAAAAACUGCUGGUUUGGUUUUCCUCCUUUUUCUCCAAGGGCAGUGGAUUCCUAAGGAAUCCCAUCCACUAGUUACUUAAAACUCAAGAAGUUUGUUCUCCUUAAAUUCAGGAUCCUGACUACACCUGGCCAAUGUCUUUCAUUGUUGUGUGUUACUCCAGGCCACAGCCACUCUAGCAAAUGCUGCUACCAACACUGACAUCUCUAAUUAAUUCUUCCAUGUUGGAACAGGUCCAGCAAUGCUCCUGAGGUGAAUUCUAUCAUUCCCAAACGCUUCUCAAAGGUUUAUCCAUGACUGUAAGAGGCAAAAUCUUGAGUGUGGCACUGUUCACACUUUCAAUGUUCCUUCCUAAACCCCUGAGGUCAGACUGGAAGGAUAGAGGAUAACACCCCCAGUGCUCCACAUCCUUUUAAAAUUUUACUCAAAGGGGACACACAGCCUGUUCUGGUGGUUCUAAUUUGCCACAUUGUUGGACCUGGUGUGGGAUUUUAGGAGCAGACUUGUAGGAGUCAUCAAACCCCCAGCAGGCAGAACAUUGCUGUAGAGAAAACUGUCUGCAUGGCAAAUGAGUGUUUUGGUGCCUCCCAGUAAGAAAUCCCCAGUAACUGAUGGUUCCUAUGUUUUGGUGGGUGGUUGCAGCAGCUUGGCAUGGUUGGCUUCUCCUGGAUCCUGUCCAUCACUCAU